UGGCUUUCAAAGCUGUGGAGUGUGACAAUGGUGUUUGUGUGACUGAUAUCAAACGCCAUUAUCACACUAAAUAGCUAUGGUAAGACACUUUGCUUCUU
rnacentral:miRNA from 1 species